AUACGGAGGAUGCAAGCGUUAUCCGGAUUUAUUGGGUUUAAAGGGUGCGUAGGCGGAUGAUUAAGCGUGAGGUGAAAUGCCACUACUCAACAGUGGAACUGCCUCGCGAACUGGUUGUCUUGAAUGCUCCUGCCGUGGGAGGAAUGUGUGGUGUAGCGGUGAAAUGCAUAGAGAUCACACAGAACACCGAUUGCGAAGGCAUCUCACGAAGGGGUGAUUGACGCUGAGGCACGAAAGCGUGGGGAUCAAACAGGAUUAGAUACCCUGGUAGUCCACGCAGUAAACGAUGAUAACUAACCGCUGGGUCGUAGUGAUUCAGUGGCCAAGCGAAAGCUAUAAGUUAUCCACCUGGGGAGUACGACCGCAAGGUUGAAACUCAAAGGAAUUGACGGGG
rnacentral:rRNA from 1 species